UCGGGAGAGGGCAUCUGGCCCCGACGAAAGGUUUUUCCGGUUGCGGAUGGGGAUGCGUCCGAUUAGGCGGCAGGCGGGGCAACGGCCCACCUGGCCUACGAUCGGUAGGGGUUCUGAGAGGAAGGUCCCCCACAUUGGAACUGAGACACGGUCCAAACUCCUACGGGAGGCAGCAGUGAGGAAUAUUGGUCAAUGGGCGGAAGCCUGAACCAGCCAAGUAGCGUGGGGGAUGACGGCCCUACGGGUUGUAAACCCCUUUUUCGCGGGGAUAACCGGGCGCACUUGUGCGUCCCUGCAGGUACCGCGUGAAUAAGGACCGGCUAAUUCCGUGCCAGCAGCCGCGGUAAUACGGAAGGUCCUGGCGUUAUCCGGAUUUAUUGGGUUUAAAGGGAGCGUAGGCGGGGGAUUAAGCGUGCUGUGAAAUACCGCGGCUCAACCGUGGGAGUGCAGCGCGAACUGGUUUCCUUGAGUGGGCGGAAGGUACGCGGAAUUCGUGGUGUAGCGGUGAAAUGCUUAGAUAUCACGAGGAACCCCGAUUGCGAAGGCAGCGUGCCGCAGCCUCACUGACGCUGAAGCUCGA
rnacentral:rRNA from 1 species